rnacentral:rRNA from 1 species
UACGUAGGGUGCGAGCGUUGUCCGGAAUUAUUGGGCGUAAAGAGCUCGUAGGCGGCUUGUCGCGUCGGAUGUGAAAGCCCGGGGCUUAACUCCGGGUCUGCAUUCGAUACGGGCAGGCUAGAGUUCGGUAGGGGAGAGCGGAAUUCCUGGUGUAGCGGUGAAAUGCGCAGAUAUCAGGAGGAACACCGGUGGCGAAGGCGGAUCUCUGGGCCGAUACUGACGCUGAGGAGCGAAAGCUAGGGUAGCAAACGGG